AUUGAACGCUGGCGGCAGGCCUAACACAUGCAAGUCGAACGGUAACAGGAAGCAGCUUGCUGCUUUGCUGACGAGUGGCGGACGGGUGAGUAAUGUCUGGGAAACUGCCCGAUGGAGGGGGAUAACUACUGGAAACGGUAGCUAAUACCGCAUAACGUCGCAAGACCAAAGAGGGGGACCUUAGGGCCUCUUGCCAUCGGAUGUGCCCAGAUGGGAUUAGCUAGUAGGUGGGGUAACGGCUCACCUAGGCGACGAUCCCUAGCUGGUCUGAGAGGAUGACCAGCCACACUGGAACUGAGACACGGUCCAGACUCCUACGGGAGGCAGCAGUGGGGAAUAUUGCACAAUGGGCGCAAGCCUGAUGCAGCCAUGCCGCGUGUAUGAAGAAGGCCUUCGGGUUGUAAAGUACUUUCAGCGGGGAGGAAGGGAGUAAAGUUAAUACCUAUGCUCAUUGACGUUACCCGCAGAAGAAGCACCGGCUAACUCCGUG
rnacentral:rRNA from 1 species